GUUCAUUCCUGAACAUAUACUAAAAUUGGAGCAAUACAGAGAAGAUUAGCAAGGCUCCUGCGCAAGCAUGACACGCAAAUUCGUGAAGCGUUCCAAAUGAUG
rfam:Ancylostoma ceylanicum strain HY135 Acey_s0630_scaf, whole genome shotgun sequence.